rnacentral:lncRNA from 1 species
UUAAAUCAUACAUUGUAAUUUAUAAAAAGGUAUCUAAGGGACCAUAUGUUGAAUAGUAAGGUUUAAAAUAAUUACCCUCCCCUUUUUGGGAGUUAUGUAUUUUGAUUGGUCAAGUAACUUUGAUAUACAUUAAAUGAUUAUUGAGAUUUAGGGGAGAUGCGUUUUAGAAAGGGACUUGGAUAUAUUAACUUUAUGUAAUUUAGAGGAUUGGAUAAUUAUAGGCUUUGUCACAUCAUGGUGACUUAGUUGCAUAUUCGUAUACAUGUAUUACUUGUGUUGUAAAUAUGAAUGCUUUAUCUAUUCGAGAAUAAUUAAUAUACAAUCAUCGAACUUAGUGUUUUAUUGACUUCUUGUGCGUUAUACAAAGAAAACCAG